AUGAUAAGAAUUUCAUGUCUUUUGUAUUAAAGAAUUAAAUGGAUGAAAUAUGAAGUUUUAUUAAAAGAAAAAGGGGUGAAAAGAACAAAGUUUUGUCCAUCUUUAUUCAUCAUAGCUGAAAGUUAGAGAAGAGAAAGGAGAGGAGAAAGCUCUUGAGUAUUCGGUCAUUAGGAGGAGGAAAAUUGAAGGCGGUUCGUGUGUGGAUCUCGUCAACAUAUCGUCGCAAACAGGUGAGUCUUGAUGUGGGUGACUUGGAGCCGGAGGGGAUUCAGAGUGGCCAUUGUGAACACUUUUGGGUUUGAAAAAGAGACUGGUAUUCUUAAGUUAUUUUUAAUUACUAUUUAAAGUUUUGGGUUGUAAUAAGGUCAUUUUAACUUUAUUUUCUUCUUUGAUUUUCUGGGAUUAUAUUAUUUUAAACAACCUUAAAUUGAUGGAUAAUAACAA